rnacentral:rRNA from 1 species
GACGAACGCUGGCGGCGUGCUUAACACAUGCAAGUCGAACGAUGAAGCCCAGCUUGCUGGGUGGAUUAGUGGCGAACGAGUGAGUAACACGUGAGUAACCUGCCCUGGACUCUGGGAUAACCCCGAGAAAUCGGAGCUAAUACCGGAUAGGACCUUUCCUCGCAUGAGGUUUGGUGGAAAGUUUUUCGGUUUGGGAUGGACUCGCGGCCUAUCAGCUUGUUGGUGAGGUAAUGGCUCACCAAGGCGUCGACGGGUAGCCGGCCUGAGAGGGUGACCGGCCACACUGGGACUGAGACACGGCCCAGACUCCUACGGGAGGCAGCAGUGGGGAAUAUUGCACAAUGGGCGCAAGCCUGAUGCAGCAACGCCGCGUGCGGGAUGACGGCCUUCGGGUUGUAAACCGCUUUUAGUAGGGAAGAAGGGCUUCGGCUUGACGGUACCUGCAGAAAAAGGACCGGCUAACUACGUGCCAGCCGCCGCCGUAACAC